rnacentral:rRNA from 1 species
GGUGCAAGCGUUAUCCGGAAUCAUUGGGCGUAAAGCGCCUGUAGGUUGUUUAAUAAGUCCGUUGUUAAAGACUAGGGCUUAACCCUAGGAAAGCGAUGGAAACUGAUAGACUUGAGUAUGGCAGGGGUAGAGGGAAUUUCUAGUGUAGCGGUGAAAUGCGUAGAUAUUAGAAAGAACACCGGUGGCGAAAGCGCUCUACUGGACCAUUACUGACACUGAGAGGCGAAAGCUAGGGGAGCGAAAGGGAUUAGAUACCCCUGUAGUCCUAGCCGUAAACGAUGGAUACUAGAUGUUGUGCAAUUUGGACAGUAUCGUAGCUAACGCGUUAAGUAUCCCGCCUGGGGAGUACGCUCGCAAGGGUGAAACUCAAAGGAAUUGACGGGGGCCCGCACAAGCGGUGGAGCAUGUGGUUUAAUUCGAUGCAACGCGAAGAACCUUACCAGGGCUUGACAUACUACAGAUCUUUUUGAGAAAGAAGAGUGCCUUCGGGAAUGUAGAUACAGGUGGUGCAUGGCUGUCGUCAGCUCGUGUCGUGAGAUGUUGGGUUAAGUCCCGCAACGAGCGCAACCCUCGUUUUUAGUUGCCAAUUUAUUGGGAUCUCUAGAAAGACUGCCGGUGACAAACCGGAGGAAGGUGAGGAUGACGUCAAGUCAGCAUGCCCCUUAUGUCCUGGGCCACACACGUGCUACAAUGGUAAAGACAAAGAGUCGCCAAUUCGCGAGAAUGAGCUAAUCUCAUAAACUUUAUCUAAGUUCG